AUACGUGGCACACGGCUCAGUAACACGUAGUCAACAUAACCAAAGGACGUGGAUAAACUCGGGAAACUGAGGCUAAACCGCGAUAGAUCAAGAUACCUGGAAUGGUUUUUGAUCAAAAUCUAUAUGGCCUUUGGAUUGGACUGCGUCCGAUCAGGCUGUUGGUGAGGUAAUGGCCCACCAAACCUGUAACCGGUACGGGCUCUGAGAGGAGGAGCCCGGAGAUGGGUACUGAGAAAAGGACCCAGGCCCUAUGGGGCGCAGCAGGCGCGAAACCUCUGCAAUAGGCGAAAGCCUGACAGGGUUACUCUGAGUGACUUUCGCUAAGAAAGUCUUUUGACACCUCUAAAAAUGGUGUAGAAUAAGGGGUGGGCAAGUCUGGUGUCAGCCGCCGCGGUAAUACCAGCACCCCGAGUGGUCGGGACGAUUAUUGGGCCUAAAGCAUCCGUAGCCGGUUUUACAAGUCCUCCGUUAAAUCCAGCUGCUUAACAGAUGGGCUGCGGAGGAUACUAUAAGACUAGGAGGCAGGAGAGGCAAGCGGUACUCAGUGGGUAGGGGUAAAAUCCGUUGAUCCAUUGAAGACCACCAGUGGCGAAGGCGGCUUGCCAGAAUGCGCUCGACGGUGAGGGAUGAAAGCUGGG
rnacentral:rRNA from 1 species